UAACUAAAAUUAAUUUCCAUAAUUGGUUUGCCAUUUUUUUCUAAAUUCUUGUAGAAACUUUCUUUUAAAGUCACUUAUUUAAAAGUUGUUCAUUAUCUUUGAAGGCAGAGGAAACUGCUGCUUCUAAUAAGGAAAUUGAUUUACUUCAGUGGAAGCGUUCAUCGUUAGUUAUCUACAUUGAUGCAAGAGCAUUUGUUACAGCGACCAAUGGACAUGGUACAGGAGGGUAUGGAUGUAUCGUGUGGUUAGUUGGUCUGCAUAUGUAAGUAAGCUUCUAGAAAUAUGAAACUGGUUAUCAUAUAUUACUGAUUUAUAAAUGAUUGUAAAACUAGUAAUGCUAAUACAUAUGUAAUGUGGCAUGUCAUAAUGUUGACAGAUGCAGAGUACUUGAUGAAUUUGUGAACUUGCAAGAUAGUUCAAUCAAGCCCAAAUCAUGGGACUGUGAAGUCUGGUGGUGGACUGACAAGAUUCAUCCAGAUUUGGGAGUUCUACAUCCAUUUACUAAAAUCAUUUAAAGAUAAAUGAAAUUUGAACAUCAAACAGAUCAUAAGUAAAGAUGCAUGUUAUGCAUGCAUCAUGUGUUGGUCCAUUCUGAUUUGACAUUAAAUGGAAAAACGAGAGAUUGUGGAAUGAAAUUCU